UACGUAGGGGGCAAGCGUUGUCCGGAUUUAUUGGGCGUAAAGAGCGUGUAGGCGGCCAGGUAGGUCUGGUGUGAAAACUCGAGGCUCAACCUCGAGAGGUCAUCGGAAACCAUCUGGCUAGAGUCCGGAAGAGGAGAGUGGAAUUCCCGGUGUAGCGGUGAAAUGCGCAGAUAUCGGGAAGAACACCUAUGGCGAAGGCGGUUCUCUGGGACGGUACUGACGCUGAGACGCGAAAGCGUGGGGAGCGAACAGG
rnacentral:rRNA from 1 species